AGAGUUCGAUCCUGGCUCAGGACGAACGCUGGCGGCGUGCCUAACACAUGCAAGUCGAACGGGGUGAGGCCCUUCGGGACCUUACCUAGUGGCGAACGGGUGAGUAACGCGUGAGGAACCUGCCUUUCAGUGGGGGACAACAGUUGGAAACGACUGCUAAUACCGCAUGAAGCUUUUGGGAGACAUCUCCUGGAAGCCAAAGCUUAAUGUGCUGAAAGAUGGCCUCGCGUCUGAUUAGCUAGUUGGUGGGGUAACGGCCCACCAAGGCGACGAUCAGUAGCCGGUCUGAGAGGAUGAACGGCCACAUUGGGACUGAGAUACGGCCCAGACUCCUACGGGAGGCAGCAGUGGGGAAUAUUGGGCAAUGGGCGAAAGCCUGACCCAGCAACGCCGCGUGAAGGAAGAAGGCCUUCGGGUUGUAAACUUCUUUUACCAGGGACGAAGGACGUGACGGUACCUGGAGAAAAAGUAACGGCUAACUACGUGCCAGCAGCCGCGGUAAUACGUAGGUUGCAAGCGUUGUCCGGAUUUACUGGGUGUAAAGGGCGUGUAGGCGGAGAUGCAAGUUAGGAGUGAAAUCUAUGGGCUCAACCCAUAAACUGCUUCUAAAACUGUAUCCCUUGAGUAUCGGAGAGGCAAGCGGAAUUCCUAGUGUAGCGGUGAAAUGCGUAGAUAUUAGGAGGAACACCAGUGGCGAAGGCGGCUUGCUGGACGACAACUGACGCUGAGGCGCGAAAGCGUGGGGAGCAAACAGGAUUAGAUACCCUGGUAGUCCACGCUGUAAACGAUGAAUACUAGGUGUGGGGGGACUGACCCCCUCCGUGCCGCAGUUAACACAAUAAGUAUUCCACCUGGGGAGUACGACCGCAAGGUUGAAACUCAAAGGAAUUGACGGGGGCCCGCACAAGCAGUGGAUUAUGUGGUUUAAUUCGACGCAACGCGAAGAACCUUACCAGGACUUGACAUCCAACUAACGAAGUAGAGAUACAUCAGGUGCCCUUCGGGGAAAGUUGAGACAGGUGGUGCAUGGUUGUCGUCAGCUCGUGUCGUGAGAUGCUGGGUUAAGUCCCGCAACGAGCGCAACCCCUAUUGUUAGUUGCUACGAAAGAGCACUCUAGCGAGACUGCCGUUGACAAAACGGAGGAAGGCGGGGACGACGUCAAAUCAUCAUGCCCCUUAUGUCCUGGGCUACACACGUAAUACAAUGGUGGCCAACAGAGGGAAGCGAAGCCGUGAGGCGGAGCAAAUCCCUAAAAGCCAUCUCAGUUCGGAUUGCAGGCUGCAACUCGCCUGCAUGAAGCUGGAAUUGCUAGUAAUCGCGGAUCAGCAUGCCGCGGUGAAUACGUUCCCGGGCCUUGUACACACCGCCCGUCACACCAUGAGAGUCGGGAACACCCGAAGUCCGUAGUCUAACCGCAAGGGGGGCGCGGCCGAAGGUGGGUCCGGUAAUUGGGGUGAAGUCGUAACAAGGUA
rnacentral:rRNA from 1 species